CUGACUUGGUGUGGGUCUUUGUUCACUGUCCGUCAGACCGUUGACAUAACAUCUUAUCUCUGAGGUGAGAGAAACUUCUUUGAAGUUCUGUUUCCUGCAGUCUUCUGUUUCUACUUGGUUCCUUGUUCGGUUCUUUAUGUCUGUUCCAUAACAGAGGAUUCCCUUGGACAUCUGAUGAUCCUUUACUGAUUUUUCCUGUAUGUAAGUGAGGAAAUACAAAGUUCCAGGUGCACAGAUGGGACCUGUCAAUGUGUCAGACCUCAUGGUAGAGGGAUUGAAAUUAAAACAUCAACAUCAAUAUCUGCAGAUCUUCUCCCUUGAGAUAAUCAGUUUCCAUAAAAAGGCAUCUUCCUAGUUGCUGCUUUGGUGGUGUGGGGUGGAGGGUGGGUACAGCAACGAAGUCUGUCUACCAGCAUUUAGUACACUGAGUGAGGGAAGACCAUCGCAGGGUGGGAAGUUUUCAGCUUCACUUCGCAACCCAGGCUCUGGAAGUAUGUCAUCUUCCAAUUGCUUCAUCAUUGCCUACUCUCCUAACCACAGGCAUAGCGCGUCAGAAGACUGAAACCCAACUCAGCCAACCAUCUAUUCACAUGCCAUCAUCCACGAGUUUGUUGACAUCUCUCAUUUGCUGUUGUCUCUCCUCAUUCUUUCUGUCCUCAUAGGUUUAUAAGUUUUCAUUUUCUUUCUUUAAAAACUCAUUUUAAGGACACCAUUAUUUUUAAAAAAAGCAAUAGAAAAUAACAAGUAUGGGCAAAGACGUGGAGAAAUUGGAACCGUCGCACACUGCUGGUGGAAAUGUAAAAUGGCAGAGUUCUUCAAAAAAUUAAAGUUCCAUUAUCAUAUG
rnacentral:lncRNA from 1 species